UACGAAGGGGGCUAGCGUUGCUCGGAAUCACUGGGCGUAAAGCGUGCGCAGGCGGCGCGUUAAGACAGGUGUGAAAGCCCCGAGCUUAACUUGGGAAUUGCGCUUGUGACUGGCGAGCUGGAGUGUGGCAGAGGGAGGUGGAAUUCCACGUGUAGCAGUGAAAUGCGUAGAGAUGUGGAGGAACACCGAUGGCGAAGGCAGCCUCCUGGGCCAGCACUGACGCUCAUGCACGAAAGCGUGGGGAGCAAACAGG
rnacentral:rRNA from 1 species